CGUAGGAGACGAGCGUUAUCCGGAUUUACUGGGCGUAAAGCGUGUGCAGGCGGUUCGGCAAGUUGGAUGUGAAAUCUCCCGGCUCAACUGGGAGGGGUCGUUCAAUACUACCGAACUUGAGGUCAUCAGAGGAAGAUGGAAUUCCCGGUGUAGUGGUGAAAUGCGUAGAUAUCGGGAGGAUCACCAGUGGCGAAGGCGGUCUUCUGGGAUGAUCCUGACGCUCAGACACGAAAGCUAGGGGAGCGAACGGGAUUAGAGACCCCGGUAGUCCUAGCUGUAAACGAUGUAGACUUGGCGUCGGAGGGUUCAAAACCUUCGGUGUCGUAGCUAACGCGAUAAGUCUACCGCCUGGGGACUACGGCCGCAAGGUUA
rnacentral:rRNA from 1 species